GAUGAACGCUGGCGGCGUGCCUAAUACAUGCAAGUCGAGCGAACAGACGAGGAGCUUGCUCCUUUGACGUUAUCGGCGGACGGGUGAGUAACACGUAGGUAACCUACCUAUUAGACUGGGAUAACUUCGGGAAACCGGAGCUAAUACCGGAUAAUAUUUCGAACCGCAUGGUUCGAUAGUGAAAGAUGGCUUUUCUAUCACUUAUAGAUGGACCUGCGCCGUAUUAGCUAGUUGGUUAGGUAACGGCUUACCAAGGCAACGAUACGUAGCCGACGUGAGAGGGUGAUCGGCAACACUGGAACUGAGACACGGUCCAGACUCAUACGGAGGGCAGCAAUAGGGAAUCUUCCGCAAUGGGCAAAAGCCUGACGGAGCCACGCCGCGUGAGUGAUGAAGAUCUUCGGAGCGUAAAACUCUGUUAUUAGGGAAGAACAAACGUGUAAGUAAGUGUGCACGUCUUGACGGUACCUAACCAGAAAGCCACGGCUAGCUCCGUG
rnacentral:rRNA from 1 species